rnacentral:rRNA from 1 species
UACGGGGGGGGCAAGCGUUGUUCGGAAUUACUGGGCGUAAAGGGCUCGUAGGCGGCCAACUAAGUCAGACGUGAAAUCCCGGGGCUUAACCCCGGGACUGCAUUCCAUACUGCGGUGCUUGAGGACUGGAGAGGAGACUGGAAUUUACGGUGUAGCAGUGAAAUGCGUAGAGAUCGUAAGGAAGACCAGUGGCGAAGGCGGGUCUCUGGACAGUUCCUGACACUGAGGCACGAAGGCCAGGGGAGCAAACGGG